rnacentral:rRNA from 1 species
AUUGAACGCUGGCGGCAGGCCUAACACAUGAAAGUCGAACGAGUGGCGGACGGGUGAGUAAUGUCUGGGAAACUGCCUGAUGGAGGGGGAUAACUACUGGAAACGGUAGCUAAUACCGCAUACCAUCGGAUGGUCCCCGAUGGGAUUAGCUCGUGGGUGGGGUAACGGCUCACCAAGGCGACGAUCCCUAGCUGGUCUGAGAGGAUGACCAGCCACACUGGAACUGAGACACGGUCCAGACUCCUACGGGAGGCAGCAGUGGGGAAUAUUGCACAAUGGGCGCUAGCCUGAUGCAGCCAUGCCGCGUGUAUGAAGAAGGCCUUCGGGUUGUAAAGUACUUUCAGCGAGGAGGCGUUACCCGCAGAAGAAGCACCGGCUAACUCCGUGCCAGCAGCCGCGGUAAUUC